UACGUAGGGAGCUAGCGUUGUUCGGAAUUACUGGGCGUAAAGCGCACGUAGGCGGCUUUUUAAGUCAGGGGUGAAAUCCCGGGGCUCAACCUCGGAACUGCCCUUGAAACUGGGAAGCUAGAAUCUUGGAGAGGCGAGUGGAAAUCCGAGUGUAGAGGUGAAAUUCGUAGAUAUUCGGAAGAACACCAGUGGCGAAGGCGACUCGCUGGACAAGUAUUGACGAUGAGGUGCGAAAGCGUGGGGAGCAAACAGG
rnacentral:rRNA from 1 species